UUUACAGGAAUGGAUUAGUGUCUUCAAAAAGACCAUUAGCAUCACAACCGUUAACUAGCUAUAGAGGCUAACUAUUAGAGGAGCAUCAGAAAACCCUAAAACGGGAAGUUACAAGAAAAUGUGUAAUGGGAGCUGCUGACAGAGAUACAGGAAUCACAGAGCUGGAGCGGAUCUCCUGUCGAAGAACAUUUCCAAAGCACUAUGAACCAUCUGACUAGUAAGU